UUUUUUUUUUUUUUUACAGAAAUGCGAUUAUAGAUUAACGGAAGGAGGUGACGAAUAUUUGCAAUUGUUGAAUGUGUUUUCCUAUAUUGUAACGGCAUAUAAGCUGUAAGAGAAGACUCGUAAAGUUUGUUUUCAUGUCAAUGAAGUAAAUAUUUACGAGUAUAUAUUUAAGUAUAUAUUUAUUUUUAAUGUACAUCAUAAGUAAAUAUUUCUAUAUUUUUAUACGUGUCUUGUUACAUAGAUGAUUUAUUCGUUUUUCAUAAAAUAAUCUCAUACAAACAAAAACUAUUUCAUGACAAGUUAAUUUAUUGGCCACUUUUUGAUCCUAAUGUGCCAAGCAAUAAAACUUGUUUGGAAGCUUUUUGUUUUAGUUGUAGCGCUUGGUGAUAAAUAAACAGAUGAGUCAGUCUGUAAAACUCACCUAUACGUUUUUAUGUAUCCAAUUCUACAUAUGUUAAUUUUUUAUCAUGUAUUUGAGAAUAAAAGUAAUGAUGAUUCCGCUGUGAACUUGACCGACACGUCACUCAAGAUCUCUUUCUAGAAAUGUUCUUAAAAUUUGUUCUUGAUUCAAGUAAUUGUUCAAGUGAAUAGCCUACUUUACAUCGUACAUCUUUUUAGUACGCGAAUUAAAUAAACAAUUAAUAAAGAAUCUUAGGCUCUGAGAUUUCUAAACGCGAAAUAUAUAAACGGUAACAAGAACCGUACGCUGGAUGUUACGGAAAUAUGCGUAUAUAUAUACAUAUUCAGGGUGAUUUAUUUUAAUCGCUUCAGGCAGAUGUUGAAGCUAAGAGAAAUAGAAAAAAACUUUCAAAUAAAAGUUGUAAUGUGGUGAGAGGGAAAUACGAUGGUCUUAAUGAAUUUUGUGUAGAGGCUAUUUCCAAGGUCACGUCAAAGUCAUCUUAAAAUUUUUAAAAGAAAGUCCCUAUUUUGUAUUGCAUAUUCAUGUAGUUAAGGCAUUUUUAGAACACUGAUUACAACCUUAUUUUUAGUUGAGAACGUUUUGAGUUAUGAGUUUUCAAAUUUUUGUAACAGUACCGCCAGCAGGAAUGGGAUAAAAGAUGCUCCGAUCACGCGUAUCUCACGCCGAUGCUUGAUGUUUUUUCACACACAACAGCUGUUUACCCGACCUUGAGUGCGACCGCUCACUUGGAAUAGGAAAGUUUGAAUCUCGGAACAAAUCAAACCAGUCUUCAAUGGGUGCUUUCCAUAGAGCUUAUACCACGAAGUAAGAGUAAGGAGAUCGAACUUCGUGAUAUAAAAGUGGUCCCGAUUCUGACGCCUAAUUGGGAGGGAAUCCGCUCAAGGGAAUAGUUUCUUACGGUUGGACGCCAUUUGCAAUUAGUAACGUAACCUAACUUUAUCUGUCAGUUUUGUUUCUUUACAAAUUAUGGCAUGCUGGAUACGUGGAUGCGAGACCAAAGGAGGGAAACAUGUUUCCAGAAAAAGAAGUCUUUUUACACCUAGGACAGUGAGUAUGCGUUAAG